GACGAACGCUGGCGGCGUGCCUAAUACAUGCAAGUAGAACGCAGUUGCGAACGGGUGAGUAACGCGUAGGUAACUGCCUCAUAGCAGGGGAUAACUAUUGGAAACGAUAGCUAAUACCGCAUAAUGUGAGCUGGACCUGCUUUGUAUUAGCUAGUUGGUGAGGUAAAGGCGCACCAAGGCGACGAUACAUAGCCGACCUGAGAGGGGGAUCGGCCACACGGGGACUGAGGCACGGCCCAGACUCCUACGGGAGGCAGCCGGAGGGAAUCUUCGGAAAUGGACUGAAGUCUGACCGAGCAACGCCGCGUGAGUGAAGAAGGUGUUCGGAGCGUAAAGCUCUGUUUUUAGAGAAGGGGUAACUAACCAGAAAGGGACGGCUAACUACGUGCCAGCAGCCGCGGUAAUAC
rnacentral:rRNA from 1 species